rnacentral:rRNA from 1 species
UACGUAGGGUGCAAGCGUUAAUCGGAAUUACUGGGCGUAAAGCGUGCGCAGGCGGUCCGUUAAGACAGAUGUGAAAUCCCCGGGCUUAACCUGGGAACUGCAUCCGAUACUGGAUGGCUUGAAUCCGGGAGAGGGAUGCGGAAUUCCAGGUGUAGCGGUGAAAUGCGUAGAGAUCCGGAAGAACACCGGUGGCGAAGGCGGCCUGCUGGGCUAUGGCUGACACUGAGGCGCGACAGCGUGGGGAGCAAACAGG